AGGCCCCGGUUUCGCACGGGUAUAUGUCAUCUAUUUCAUGUAAUGUUUGUGUGUGACGUUAAAAGAUAUCAACAGUAUCCCCCAUAGCAGUCACAUCAACAGCACUUGGAUUGGAUAA